CUACUGGUAUUUCUCUUAAAAAGAAAUAGCAAGAUGAAAAAACUAACUUAAAAAGUCUAUUUUAUCAGAAGAAAAAAGUUAACAUUUCACUUAAUAUAACCAAACCACCAUCAUCAUCAAAGGAGUUUUUCGAGUAGAAAAGCACUGCUUUGAUUGCUUUACUUCAUUCAGAUCCUAAUUUUCUAGAAGGAAUUCUAGGAUUCACACAAAAAGGUAAGAAGACCCGGCCUGUGAGUAACCUGAAUCUUUAGUCAUAUAUCUUAAGAUCUGUGGUACCAGUUAUAAAUUAUUUAAAUGCUUAAACUUGUUUUAUGUCUUUAAUUUCUUAAUAUAAUUUACAUUACUUAAUUUAAUAAUUUACUUCAUUACAUAGAUGUGAUUAUGCUAUUAAUACUUUAAAAUCAUGGAAAAAUACAUAUAACAAAAUUUAUCACAACCACUUUAAGUGUAUAAUUCAAUAUUGUUCAGUAUAUAAAAUAAAUCUUCAGAACUCUUCAUCUUGCAAAACUCAAACAUUUUAUUUAUUAAACAAGUCCCAAUGGCUCCCUUCUCUAGUAAUUAUCAUUCUACUUUUCUGUCUCUAUGAAUUUGACUAUACUAGGUACCUCAUAUAGGGUAGAAUCAUACAGUAUUUAUCUGUUACUUAUUUUACUUUGCCUAAUGUCCCCAGGGGUUGCCCAUGUUGUAGCAUAUUUCGAAUUGCCUUCAUUUUUAAGGCCAAACAAUAUUCUACUGUAUGUUAUGCUACAUUUUGUUUCUUUAUUCAUCUGGUAACAGACACUCGGACUAUACAAAUUUCUGAGACCCUGCUUUCAAUUCUUCUGUGUAUAUGCCCAGAAGCAAAACUGCCUAAUCAUGUGGUAAUUCUAUUUUUAUCUUUGUAAAGACUUGCUACAUUGUUUUCCAUAGUGGCUACCACCAUUUCACAUUCCCAUGAGCAAUCCACAAGGGUUUCAAUUUUUCUAUAUCCUUGUCAAUAUUUUUCUUUCUGGAGAGAAGUCAUCCUAACAGGCAUAAUGUGGCAACUCAAUAUCUCACUGAGAUUUUGAUUUGCAUUUCCCUAAUGAUUAGUGAUGUUAAACAUGUUUUCAUGUGCUUAUAUUUUCUUGGUAGAAAUGUUUAUUCAAGUCUAGCAAACAUUUUUUAAAAAACACCUUUUUACCCCUUUUCAUUUUUUGAAUCCUCAUUUCAAAUCCUGCUUCAUCCUAUUAACUAUAUUAACAUGAUAUGCCUUUGCAUAUUUUUUCCAUGUACAUAUAUUCUAUAUGCACACUAUAUUUAUUAACGUACUUACAGGUAUGUAUAAGGGAUAAAUUCCUAGGAGACGUAAAGCUUUAGUCAAAAGUUACUAGACUGUUUUUAUAUGUGUAUUCCUAUUCUCUGCAAAGAUAUUUUAUUACUCUAAUUUCACUUUGAUGUGUAUAAAAUGUUCCUAUUUUAGGGCUGGAGUUGUGGCUCGGUGGUAGAGUGCUCGCCUAGCACAUGGGAGGCACUGGGUUCGAUCCUCUGUACCGCAUCAAAAUAAAGUGAAGCAUGAGAUAUGUGUAUAUGCUACCAGAGAACUCUGCACAAGAGAUUUAACAGUGUUGAGGCUUUAAAAGUCAUUAACAUGGUGAGACCUGUGCACAGAGAAGCAGAAAUGGUACCAUCUGGGGACUCAAAAAAAAGUACUAAUAAUAUAAUAUGAACCUCACACUACACCAAAAUAGAAAAGAGAACCAAAACUCAGCUUUCUUAGUAAUAUCACCUCACCACACAGUCAUUCCAUUUCUUAUGAUUACUCCUAAAAUGCAAAAAAGUCAGGGACUGAAAAAUUACAAAAAACAGUGUUUAUAAAAAUUCAAUGAUUCUGGAUGCAAACAACCACCAAUUCUUGAGAAAUUAACUGUAAAUUGUACUAUCAAUUACUACUAUUGAUUUUAGUUCUUGAAUUAGAUUUAUAUUAUAAAACAAAGUUGAUAGUAAACUUUGACUUUUCUUUCAAGCUAGAAGAAUGCAAGGUACACUACUAUAUACUCUUGUAAUGCUUAAAUUUUUAAAAAUGUAAACCUGAAUUAUAAUAAAGAUUUUUUUUAUUGGUUGUUCAAAACAUUACAAAGCUCAUGAUAUAUCAUCUUUCAUACAUUUGACUCAAUUGGGUUAUGAACUCCCAUUUUUACCCCAAAUACAAAUUGCAGAAUCACAUCGGUUACACACUCACAUUUUUACAUUACAAUAAAGAUUUUAAUGGCUGUAUCACACAAAUAAGGUAUAAAUGAAGAUUUUCUCAAUACUGCCAACUGAAAAUAUAAACAAGAAGCUGAAUUAAUUCCUGGUACCAAAAUAA